CCUGAGGAGAGAUAAUUUGUUACCAACCCAAAACAGGGUUUCAAAUCCCAGCAAAACUAUUCAGGAUAUUUCAGUCCCUUGAUUAAUCAAACUGCACAGACGGGAUGUCAGGGUGGCAGCUGCAGGAACUGCUGAAGUCCUCAAGGUCCUGAGACCAAACCAAGCAGAAGUAGAACAUCAGUUCAACAUAGAAUGAUCAUGUACAGUACCACGGGGGGUAAAACAUUGUCUUACAUGAUGUCCCAAUCCAGCUCCACCAGCUCCACCUCCUCCAUCAGCCUGAGGACUCGUCGUUUGAAGUUGGCCUGGAAUCGAGCGUCAUCUUCGAAGACAAGUGCUUUAUCC